rnacentral:rRNA from 1 species
CGGAACGGGUGAGUAACGCGUGAGGAACCUGCCUCAAAGAGGGGGACAACAGUUGGAAACGACUGCUAAUACCGCAUAAGCCCACGGCUCGGCAUCGAGCAGAGGGAAAAGGAGCAAUCCGCUUUGAGAUGGCCUCGCGUCCGAUUAGCUAGUUGGUGAGGUAACGGCCCACCAAGGCGACGAUCGGUAGCCGGGCUGGGAGGUUGAACGGCCACAUUGGGACUGAGACACGGCCCAG